ensembl:lncRNA
GCCAUAUCCCACUGAUAACAGGAACUGAGAAGUACUGGCCCCACCUCCUUUGCCUCUUCCUGCCUCCUUCCUCUCACCCACCACCCUUUGAGCCAUUUUUCCCUAUGAUUUUUAAAAUUCUCAGUUAUCUCUUUCCCCUUGUUUGUUAAUUUACUAAAAAACUGCAAGCUGGUCACUCCACAACCUGAUGGCUUUGGAGGAAAAUGCUCGAGAAUUGAAAAAGAAAAUCAAGAUUUUUAUGUACCUAUGCUGCUGCUGCUGCUGCUGCUGCUAAGUUGCUUCAGUCGUGUACGACUCUGUGCGACCCCAUAGACGGCAGCCCACCAGGCCUCGCCGUCCCUGGGAUUCUUCAUGCAAGAACACUGGAGUCUGAGAAACCGGUCUGAGCAAGUUCUCAAAUAUUGAACCCCAUGAAUAGAAGGAAAGGCCUAUCUCCUGGAGGAAGAAUCCUGUGACAUAGCUUCAAUCAUACAUUAUACAUCAGUAAGACACCUUCAGACACAGAAGUGCAUGCAGAGCACCAGCUGAGAGUGGACAGGAGUACCUGACCAGCGGAAAAGAAUAUACAGAACCAUGCAAAACUUGCUCUCACUGUUUGCAGAUGACAUGAUACUGUACAUAGAAAACCUUAAAGAUAGUAUCAGACUGUGGCUGUGCCAUCAUGACUGUGGCUCAGAUCCUGAACUCCUUAUUGCUAAAUUCAGACUGAAAUUGAAGAAAGUGGAGAAAACCACUAGACAAUUCAGGUAUGACCUAAGUCAAAUCCUUUAUGACUAUACAGUAGAAGUGAGAAAUAGAUUUAAGGGACUAGAUCUGAUAGACAGAGUGCCUGAUGGACUAUGGAUGGAGGUUCAUGACAUUGUACAGGAGACAGGAACCAAGACCAUCCCCAAGAAAAAGAAAUGCAAAAAAGCAAAAUGGCUGUCUGAGGAGGCCUUACAAAUAGCUGUGAAAAGAAGGGAAGCAAAAAGCAAAGGAGAGAAGGAAAAAUAUACCCAUUUGAAUGCAGAGUUCCUAAGAACAGCAAGGAGAGAUAAGAAAGCCUUCCUCAGUGAUCAGUGAAAAGAAAUAGAGGAAAACAACAGAACGGGAAAAACUAGAGAUUGCUUCAAGAGAAUUAGAGAUACCAAGGGAACAUUUCAUGCAAAGAUGGGCUCGAUAAAGGAUAGAAAUGGUACGGACCUAACAGAAGCAGAAGAUAUUAAGAAGAGGUAGCAAGAAUACACAGAAGAACUGUACAAAAAAGAUCUCCAUGACUCAGAUAAUCAUGAUGGUGUGAUCACUCACCUAGAGCCAGACAUCCUGGGAUGUGAAGUCAAAUGGGCCUUAGAAAGCAUCACUACAAACAAAGCUAGUGGAGGUGAUGGGAUUCCAGUGGAGCUAUUUCAAAUCCUGAAAGAUGAUGCUGUGAAAGUGCUACACUCAAUAUGCCAGCAAAUUUGGAAAACUCAGCAGUGGCCACAGGACUGGAAAAGGUCAGUUUUCAUUCCAAUCCCAAAAAAAGGCAAUGCCAAAGAAUGCUCAAACUAUCACACAAUUACACUCAUCUCACACGCUAGUAAAGUGAUGCUUAAAAUUCUCCAAGCCAGGCUUCAGCAACAUGUGAACCGUGAACUUCCAGAUGUUCAAGCUGGUUUUAGAAAAGUCAGAGGAACCAGAGAUCAAAUUUCUCAACAUCCGCUGGAUCAUAGAAAAAGCAAGAGAGUUCUAGAAAAACAUCUAUUUCUGCUUUAUUGACUAUGCCAAAGCCUUGACUAUGUGGAUCACAAUAAACUAUGGAAAAUUCUGAAAGAGAUGGGAAUACCAGACCACCUAAUUUGCCUCUUGAGAAAUUUGUAAGCAGAUCAGGAAGCAACAGUUAGAACUGGACAUGGAACAACAGACUGGUUCCAAAUAGGAAAAGGAGUAUGUCAAGGCUGUAUAUUGUUACCCAACCCACUCCAGUAUUCUUGCCUGGAAAAUCCCAUGGACUGAGGAGCCUGGUGGGCUACAAUCCAUGGGGUCACAAAGAGUCGGACACGACUGAACGACUGAACUGAACUGAACUGAAUGCAUAUAUAUGAAAUCUAGAAAAAAUAAUACUGAAGUAUUUACUUACAGGGUAGCAAUGGAGAAACAUACAGAGAAUAGACUUAUGGACAUGGGGAGAGGGGGGAAGAGGGUGAGAUGUAUGGAAAGAGUAACAUGGAAACUUAUAUUACCAUAUGUAAAUGAGAUAGCCAACGGGAAUUUGCUGUAUGGCUCAGGAAACUCAAACAGUGGCUCUGUAUCAACCUAGAGGGAUGGUAUGGGGAGGAAGAUGGGAGAGAGGUUCAAAAGGGAGGGGAGAUAUGUAUACCCAUGGCUGACUCAUGUUGAGGUUUGACAGAAAACAACAAAAUUCUGUAAAUCAAUUAUCC